rnacentral:RNase_P_RNA from 2 species
UGGGUUGAGUGGACGGUCGCGUGUCGGAAACGACCCGAGGAACGUCCGGGCUCCACAGGACAGGGUGGUGGGUAACGCCCACUCGAGGUAACUCGCAGGAAAGUGCCACAGAAAACAAACCGCCGUUUCGGUAAGGGUGAAAAGGUGGUGUAAGAGACCACCAGCAGUUUGGGUGACCAGAUUGGCUAGGUAAACCCCACUUGGAGCAAGGUCAGAAAGGUUGCAUUCGAGGGCUGUCCGCCCGAGUAACCAGGUAGACCGCUUGAGGUUGUCGGCAACGGCAAUCCUAGAUGGAUGAUCGUCACGGCUUCGGCCGUACAGAACCCGGCGUACAGCUCAACCCAUCCA